UUUUUUUUUUUUUUUUUGAAUUUUGAACCAGUUGGCUAAAAUUGAAACUAUUUCCCAAAUCAGGCUAAAUUGUCUAAAUUAAAAGGUUUGAUCAAACUUGAUAAAAUGCACAGGGUUUUUCUUUUUCUUUUUCGUUUUUUUUUUUGUUAAAGCUAAGAGUGAGAAUGGACAAUGGCCCAUGCCUGGACUUUUAAAGGCUCCUGGUUUAUUUAUCCAGUCAAUGUUGUGGUUAUACUACUUUUAAAAGAAUUACGAGAUCACAAGAAAUUGAUUCCAAACCAAUUAAAUGACUUGUCGACUAUUAAAAGUAGUAUUUUUAAAAUUAAAAAUGGAACCUUCUUAGCUGAAAGAUAAUGCAGGACACAUUUCUACAGUGAAAUUCCAUGUAAAAUGAGAUAAUAAGAAACACCAAACUACCUAAUAAAAUAAUGCAAUUUUAUGUUAAGGACCAUCUGAACACUCAAUAACAAAAGUCUUAAUCACCAUGGGUUAGGCUUUAAAAUUCUUACCAUGCAUGCAUUUAAUGAAGUAAUCCAACUCACUGAAGCAAAUUGUUCCUCGAACCAAAGGUGAUGGCUGCUGGUAGACAAAGAAUGAAAAGUGACGAUGAUCAGGGUCAUUCCUUGGCUUUGCCAUCUCAACCACUCUAAUAUGUCCUUCUCUGUCAUAACAUGAAAGCGCGUUCACACCAGCUACUGUUAAUCCUCGAUCCCAAGCAGAAUUUAAGACCUGCCAACUCAAGCCCUCAGGAUCAGCAAGUGCUUCAUCAUUCUCAUUACCAGAAGUAUGCAAUCCUGAGCAUAUAAAUUUCAUUGUGACUGAGUGUUUCUUCAACACCUCAAAAACAGGAGAGUAGCCAUCAUGGUUUGUGGGGUUAUAGUAUCCUGCUGUUAUCUCUGCCGCGUGGCUAGUGGUGUUAUACCACCAAUAAACUGCUGGAAUAUUAACAAUUAUCUUUGUAUCCUCAAAGGCAAGGCUUGCAAGAGAUAAAACAUUAUCGGCAUGGUCUAUCAAUGUCUGGGCAUACCAAUUGAGGAAAAAGCGCCCAAAGUAACUAUCAUAAUCACCUCGUUCACAGAAGAACCCAGUUUCAUGCGGCCUAGAAUUAUACUGACCAGUAUUAUCAGGCCCCCUUGCCCAAAAUGAAUGCCCACGCAAUUUAGCUGCUUUAUGUAGACUUUGUUGUAAAUAUUUAUCAUAGCACUGAAACUCACCGAUGCCAGGAUAUCUCCAUCCCAUCCUUUCAGGAAAAGAAGGAUACUUUAGCUCCCCAGAUGCUCCAAGUCCAAUUUCAAUAGCAGAAAUGACACCCUCUGCAAACAAGUCAUCAAACUCCAUCCGAAAGCUUCUCAUGAAGUCAAAAUAAACCUCAAUGCCAGUUCGCCCUUUUAGAACUCGUUCUUUGUCAAUACCCCAAGAUAGGUAUUCAGUGUUCCUCCUUCCUUCACGAUCUGUGAAGAAUAUAUCCUGGUUCUCUUUCCCAAUCUCUAAAACCCAUUGAGGGAGGGAGAUCAAAACUUGAUCAGCAUCACUUCCUCCAUACUCAUGAAAUGCCAAUACAACCUGCAAUUUCAGCUUGAAUUCACGAAUGAUGUUAAAAAGUUCCCUAUAGCCAGACCACACAUAUUUCUGAGGGCUCCAUGCUUCAACAAUUCCCCACCAACAUUCUACAACAACACCAUCUAUAUCUAAUGACUUCAUGUGACUAAGCUCCUGUCUAAUGCCUUGUGGAUCAACCAAUUGGCUGAAGUUGUUGAUAAAACCAGUAGCAAGCAAUGCAUAAACUGGGACAUAUGAAGUACCAGCGAAAUCGCCAUCAUGCUCACCAGAACGAACAUCUUGUAUAAGCUGAUCAGCAUCCAAGCAAUCAACUGAAUUGAUAGGGCUGGCACUAGCAAAUUUCUCACUCCUCGUUUCUCGCUCCGUCAUCACCACUGAAUCAAGAGACGAGGGCGACAAGCUCUCAUCAAUUCUCAAUACAGAUGGCUGACAGUCCAAUGCAGCUGAUUUUACAGCACAAUUUUUCAAUGAAGCACUCGAAACUGGGCUUUCAACUGAUCGCACAGCAAAUGAAGCCAUUUGAGAGGGAGGAGGAGAUUGUCGAUAAGUGGUGCCAUCAGCCUCAACAGUCCAGCCAGCCUCGCGCGCUAGCGCGGCAAGCACAUCGUUCAUGUCCGCACGCGCCGGGAGGGGGAAAUUACCGUAUUGUCUUAACCCCGCCAGCAUUCGGCUAGUGAUGGCACGGCGGUGGCGUUCUCGAAGCUUCGUUCUCUCUUUCUCUUUCUCCCUCUCUCUCUUGCCCUUACCUGAAACAUUGGCGGAGACAGUGUUUGCGGGGUCCGUUGAUGUGGCUGCAGCUGCAGCUGCGGCAGCGGCAGCGGCGGCAGUGGCGGCGAAACCACGAGGACGACGGGGUUGCGAUUGGGGUUGGGGUUGGACGGGAUGGGGCUGAGAGUGAGAAUAGGGAUCGGAUUGGGCGAGUGGGGUUUGUAUUUGCGUUUGUGGAUCAAGGAGAAGAUCUUGGUUAUUGGAGGUGGAUGUGUUCAUCUUCGCUAUGGAUUUUUACAGUAUGCUACUCAGUACUGACUGCAAAUUCAUUCGUAGCGGGUCGAGUCUCUAUUUCCUCUGUGUUCUUGUUUUAUUUAUUUAUUUUUUCGUUUAGAAAUUGAUUUUUCUUUAUUAAAUAGCUAAUAAUCUGUCAAUAGCCGGUGAUGAAAUAUCACUCUAAUUAAG
rnacentral:misc_RNA from 1 species